rnacentral:ncRNA from 2 species
GGGUUCUUCAACUUAUUUCCAAACUUCGAACCUCCUGUUUAGGCAUUUACCUAACUGGAAAUGCUUAAAUGAAUUAGCGUUACAAGUGGGCUCUGACCGGUAAGCGGUCAUGGCGAAAUGGGAUGAACCAUACGUCUGAAUAAGGUGCCGAAAUGUACUAUCACUGAUACCAUAAAGGGAGUCCAUGUAUUUAGACAGCAGGUCGGUGCCCCUAAAAGCAGGUAUCCGCUAAAGAGUGUGUUAAAACUCACCUGCCGAAUACUAGGGCCCCGAAAAUGAAUGGCGCAUAUAGUACUACCGAUCUCAGACAUCAGUUCUAUUGAACUGAGAGUAGGGGGAUGUGGACAUUUUUGUGAAGGUGCAAUGUGAGUUGGACUGGAAGAAUGUCUAUUACAGAUCCUAAUUGAAGUAGCGAUUAUCCAGGCUUGUAUCCUGGGGGCUGAUGAGGAGUAGGGUUUCUGGACAACUUAAACAGAUCCAGAGUUAGUCGAUCCUAAUCUCAAUAAUGGGAGAAAGGGAGUACAGUUGAUAUUCUGUAACUGACAACAGUUCGCGGCAACGCAUACUAUUUUUCUCCGCCAAUCUUAUACCGUUGGUAGGGAUCUCUUUCCUACAUGACAGUACUAAUACCCAGGGAAACUGGUCAUCAGGCGAACUGCGGCGUUCUGCUGGCAAAACAUAGCUUCGGUUAUGUCAAUGGCUAUUGGAUUGGUCCAUGAAGCGAAAAAUAGUUUACUGUGUCACUCGUACCGAUAACCGCAUCAGGUCUUCUAGGUAAGUAGCCUAUGGCCAUUGAGGCAUGAUAGUUCAGGGAAUUCGGCCAAUUAGAGCUGUAACUUCGGGAUAAAGCUUGGCUCUGAUGAAAAUCAGAACCGAUUGUUACGCGGAGAGCCCAACUGUUUAAUAAAAACGUAGUGUCGCGCUGUGGUAGUAUAGCCAGUGAACGCGACAUGAAUCCUGCUCAGUGCUGUGUCUGUUAAUAUGGUUCAAGCCAACGAAGCACCGGUAAAUAGCUGGGGUAACUAUGA